CCAGGAGCCAGGAGACGAGCCGGGCCCUGGGGAACCAAGGGUGCCCACUCCACCCGGGCAGCGAUCUGGGUUCCAAGUGCUCAAGGAGGACCGCGCAGGAGAGAGCGUAGGGCGGGUUUGAGGCUGGAAAGAGCAAGAGAAAGGUGAAAAGAGGGAGAGCAUUGUAUUUGUACUAACUUAUUUAAUAUUAAUAGCAACCCUCGGAGGUGGUCCAUUUUGCAGAUGAGAAACUGAGGCAUUGAGAGGUUAACGUAACCCAGCUUACAAGGGGCAGAGCCAAGAUACAAACAAUAAGGGCAAAGUUGUGCUGACUGCCAGGCGAGUUCUAAACACUCACUUCAUCUUUACAACAGCCCUUUGAGGUAGAUCCUAUUAUAAAGCCAACGUACAGAUGAGGACAUUGAAGCACAGAGAGGUUAAGGAACUUGUCCAAGGCCACAGAGCUGGUAUCGGGGAGGGGCAGGAGACCCAGUGGAGGAACCCUGACCACGUCCUUGCGAGGUGCCCGCACUGGGCAAAGCACUUGUCAAUCCCAGCGCCAGGAGCACAUCCCCGAAGACCCCUCGCCGCCCCACUCGAGACUGGCAGGGUCCCCCACUUUCCCUCUUUACGAGUCUCCCAGACUCCUUGCUCUCGCUCCCCCUCCAACCAGCGUGCUGGUUCAGCCCACGCUGCAUUCUGGGGGAGACUCCCCCCAGCCAGACGAAAAGAGGCUGGUAGCCCCAGAAUGUUCGCAACGGCACGGCCCAGGGGCAGCAUCUGGCCGGCAGGUCCUGAAACGGCGUUUCAAGGACACAGCCCCCAUCUAGGCGCCGCCACCGGGUGAGGGUCCCGGCACCUGGCUGGUCUCCACCUCUUGUCAGCCUGCGCUCUCUGGUCAGUCUCGGACUCCCUUGGGAUUUCCUCCUCGACGCCGCGUGGUCUGGGGACCCGGCCCCGGAGCGCCAGGGGCUCGGGGCGCAGAGACCCUCCCCCUCCCGGGCCCUCCCGCCGCCGCGGCCUCCCACGUAGCGUUUUGAACCCUCUUGGCGCUAAGGCAAGAACGAGCGUGGGGAGCGGGCCGGGCCAGCAGAGGCUCUAAAUCUUCCUUCAAUCUGUGAGUCGAUGAAGUCUGAGAAACAAAUUCAAAGCAGGCGCGCCUGCAGAGCCUUCCUGCAGAAAUAUUCCCCGGCAUUCAAGCGCAUCCAGGGGCGGCUCGAGCUGCCUUGUUUGGCUAAGGUCAGACGAGACUCGAGUUCUCCAAUAAAAAUAAAUCUCAAAUUAAUUAUGGCCUCGAGCGAGGGGCCAGA